UUGAGUUCUGAUAUUGGGCUGGUUUUUGGGCUGGUUUUAUUGGCCAUUGGGCUGGUUUUGAUUGACCAUUGGGCUGGCUUUGUCACACAGACCUGGCAACCCUGGCUGCGCGCUGCUCUCCUGCUUCAGUGACUCACGAAACGCCACAGAGGGAACGACAGCCUCCUGACAUGACAGCUCUUCUUGAGACAUUGUCAUCCAAUUUGGAUGGAACAACUUCGUAACCUUAAUGACACCCAGCAACACGAGAGAAACACACAAAAGCACACAAGCACCACAGGGGAGGAUCUGCAGCAAAGGGCCCACCGGAAAUCAAACCUUGGCCGCUAUGAUGACGACAACAUGAGGCACUUGAGUGUGAAUCUAGCCUGUUCAUUUUGAUUUACAACCUUGGCAUUGAAAAGAGCAAAAGUUGAUGCUUGAGAUGAUUUUGUUUUACUGAAGAGGAUGUAUGUCCUCCCCUUGUCCUUUAUCCCCUUACUCUUUCUUUUUAGGUGUGACUACGACUACCAGCAUGAACCUCAACACCUUCUUUGCUGUUCCACUAGUGUGACCCAUGAUCGGAUACAAGUUGUCAAGGAUAAACGGUGAGAGAAUCAUGUCAGCCCACAGACAACCGGUUGACCUGUGAGUCUUCAAGCAGUAAUGAUGACUACGCCUGCCUUAAGUUCCAGUUUCCUGAACAUCAUGGCAUGUCUGCAGGAGAUUCGGUCCCCACCUGUCUUCAGUCUGGACCUAAUGACUCAGACACCAGUCUUGUCGAGGCUAAAUCGAGAGAGGAUCACCUGAUGUCAACAUACGAGUUUUCAAGAAGAACUUCCUGAACUUUGUGUCUGUGUGAGACUCAACCAUGCUGGGUGCCCUCUUCAGUCAAGUCUGGACACAGAGACUCAUUGCUCUUCAUCAACUCUGGGCAAGUGGCUAAUCUUUUGCUUAUUCAUGGGAUAUCCUUCAUGUCCACAUCCUGUUUCUUCAAGAUCUCAACAAUGCUUUGUGAGUAUACAACACAUGUGAGUGGAUCAGUUCAACCUGUUUUUCACAGAAUGUUAGUUUCUUAAGGUUUUCAUCAACGAUGGUUUGUAUCUUGUUUUACAAAAGGUGUUAUUAAGAUAUUUCCAUUUGUAAUUUACAAUAAUCAAAUGUUGACUGUAAAAUCUAUGCCAACCUAUUGUUAUACACUGUACCAUGUUUUUGCAAAGGAAUUCUGGUGACUUUAGUUGCCAGCAACUUCCUUUGAACUUUGUAAUAAAAUACCGUAACUGUAAUAAAGUUUACAGUAUAACUGUUGUUUUUACGAAACUUACUGUCAUGUCUUGUAUGUUCACCGUUAAUUGGAACUUUUCAAUAAAGUACCAUAAUAUAUUAUACAGUUGUACUGUGUUUUUCAUUGGGUUUACAGAAGAACUACACAUUUCUAGUAUUAUAUACAUUGUCAAAUUACUGAUUUUAAGCAUAUUAUGGUAUUUUUCUCUGUAAAUUUCAUGAUAUUCCAAGAAUAUUGCAUGAGCAUUGGAUGCUAAAUUUAAGGAAACUUUCCUACAUAUUGAGAAAACAAUUCUUAAAUUUGUCAUUGUAUCAAGACAAAUGUACUUGUUUUUAGUGUAAAAUUACUUAUUUUAAGAUGUAUUGCCUAACAUAUAGCCUUAUUGCAAGAUGAUGGUACUUUCAUUUCCAGAUUUUAAGCACAUUUGCCUACAUAUUCAGAAAAUAUUUGUUAAAUUUUUCAUUGUAUCAAGAUGAAUGUACUUGUUUUUAGUGUAACAUUACUUAUUUUAAGAUAUAUUGCCUAACAUAUAGCCUUAUUGCAAGAUGAUGCAGGGUGUCCGCGGGUCCUUAAAAAGUCUUAAAAAGUCUUAAAUUGCUUUUCCUAAAAAUAAGGCCUUAAAGUCUUAAAUUGUCUUAAAUUCAGAUUGGAUUGGUCUUAAAUUUUUUGGGUGUCAUGUCCAGGGGUUUUCCUGGGUCAAAAUGGGUCUUCGGUGCUCCCAAAAAAUAUGUUGGAGCGCUGCGCGCGCACCGUCUAUUUAUGCAGGUCGGGCUGUUGAGUGAUCAGCAGCUGUCCGCUCGGUCCAUUCGCGCACCUCACAGUUGCGUAUUGAUCAGACAAGAAGACACGCUUAUCAACUCCAGUGUUUCCCCUAUAACAGGGUGAAAUCCCCCCCCCCCGCAAACAAUUCUCGGCUCGCGCGACAGAGCGAUGCGCGCCGGCAUCGAAGCUGCCGUGAUGCGCGCACACGGGUGAGCACCGCGUAUUCGGUCCUAUCAAUCCCCUACAACGUGAAGCAUCGGCUACUUUAGAAAACAUGGCAGGAUGCAAGUUCAACAACGGCUUGAAAAGAACGAGUGUUUCUGGUCACGGUGGGUGAAAUGCUUCUGAAUCUGCGUUAUGUGUCGCGAGACUUUCCAGCGGUGGAAUCUCACGUGCAGAGCAAGAAGCACAGAGACUAGCGAAGGCCGCCCGCGGGGCUAGCUGCUGCUCCGCCGCUAGCUCCUGCUCCGCCGCGAGCUCCUGCUCCGCCGCCCGCAACGACGUCAACGCUACAACGCUGGAGGUCACCGGAGGAAAUCCAGCGCCUUGCAACAAAGAGCUCAUCACCGAAGACCAACGCUGCAGUGCGUUCUUCAUUCUGUUCCACGAGACUCUGGACCAGACCACCGCGAGCAGACAGCUGGACUUCAGGUGCGUUAUUGGUGAAAUGACCACGUCCAGUCAGGAUCCUGUGGAGCUCAUGGGCCAUGACACGCCCAGGACCUACUUCAGCACCUCAAAGAGAAUGGACCAAAUGUCAACUGGAAGUUUUUAUAUUAAUACAGUUUGAAAAGGAUUGUUUUCCUAGUAUAUUCACAAAAGCUCAGGAGUAGACAUGAACCUGUGCACAAACAUCCAUCACAUAGAGACAUGAGAACUCACACUCACUCACCCACACACACAUACAUUCUAUUAUGUAAAUGCAUUUGCAUUUUAAAAGCAGCUGGAAAUGUUAUUUGUUAUUUUAUGGAUUUUUUUUGUUCAAAAGGAACUAUGUUGCAUGUAUUUUUUAAAUAUAUUUACUUAAUUUUAGAGACAUUUGUUCAUGGGACUUAAAUGUUCUGAAAAUGUAUUAAUAAAUAUAAUUUACAACAGCAA